UACGUAGGGAGCGAGCGUUGUCCGGAUUUACUGGGUGUAAAGGGUGCGUAGGCGGCUCUGCAAGUCAGGUGUGAAAACCAUCGGCUUAACUGAUGGACUGCAUUUGAAACUGUGGAGCUUGAGUGAAGCAGAGGCAGGCGGAAUUCCCGGUGUAGCGGUGAAAUGCGUAGAGAUCGGGAGGAACACCAGUGGCGAAGGCGGCCUGCUGGGCUUUAACUGACGCUGAGGCACGAAAGCAUGGGUAGCAAACAGGAUUAGAUACCCUGGUAGUCCAUGCCGUAAACGAUGAUUACUAGGUGUGGGUGGUCUGACCCCAUCCGUGCCGGAGUUAACACAAUAAGUAAUCCACCUGGGAAGUACGACCGCAAGGUUGAA
rnacentral:rRNA from 1 species